rnacentral:sRNA from 1 species
AUUUGGCUUCUAUUAGAUGUUGAGAAAUAUUUUGCACGAGGAUUUAUCGAAAACUAAUUAUUAAGGCAGGUGUUUUUUGUUAAAGAAAAUUCAACAUGUGAAAUUCAUUUUUGAAGAGUGCCAAAUUUUCCCACCACAGCAGUUUGAAUAGAAUCCCCGUUAAUAGUACCACCUAUCCUAAGAACAGCUACUACCACAAACACUACCACUUUUACUACUACUACCAACCACUAGUCUCUACCUACCAUCACAACCUACCUACUUCCACCAAAUGUGGGAUCCUUCGAGAGCCAAGCACGCCAAACAGUGAUAGAGAUGGCCAAAAAGUGUCAAAUCUACAAAAGAAAAAACAAUAACAAAAAAUAACUUUAAAAGUGACAAAGUUGAUUCAGAAUAACAAUAUUACAAAAUAACAUCGACAAUUAUUGAUUAUGUAGUAGUACUCGUAUGUAGUUCUGUAAGAUAAAAUAUUUCUUUUUGUAAAAAUAAUUUUAAAACAUGUUUUUAUCCAGUAAUAAUAAAAACAACUAACACGAUUUUAAAUAUGACUAACAAAUAAAGUGGUUAUUUAUAUACAUUAUUAAUGAAAC